UACGGGAAGGACGAGUGUUAUUCACAAUGACUAGGCGUAAAGGGUUCGUAGGCGGUCUUUUUAAGUUAUUUUGCGAAAAUACGAAAAUAUAAAAAGCGAAUAAUACUGAUUGCACUUGAAAUAUUUAGAGAAAAAAAAACAGUACUUUAUAGAGUAAAAGGUGAAAUUUCAACAUACUAUUGGGGACUAUCAAAUGUGAAGACAGUUUUUUAGCUAAUAUUGACGCUGAGGAACGAAGGUGUGGGGAGCAAAUCGG
rnacentral:rRNA from 1 species